UCGGCAUAGCAGCACAGUUCACUUUCGAGUUUUAACGAGUGACGACGAUACAGAGCGAGCUCAAAAAUCGCUAAGCCGCCGCCAAUAUGUGCGGCGGCCUCAGCCGUUAAUUAAAGUUUGUUAAAUACAAUUAAUUUUGAGAGAUAACCUUCAAGACACUUGGAUUUUUUAUUGGAAAUAUAAAACCAGAAAGAAACAAGCUCAACUCUAUUUACUAUAGAGAAAAUAAAACAAAUAUAAACUCGAUCCAGCUAAGGUUCAACAAGUUAUGAAAACUACUUAAAGAAAUUAUUAAAAUAACCGAAAAAUCAUUAAAAAUAUACAUCAAUUCAGAAUACAAAAGAAAAUUCUUCAAGGAGUCAAGUACAUACAAUUUUCCUGACAAGAAAAACAAAUUAAAAUGAUAAAUAUAUUUAUCAACCAAUAUUAUAAUCGACAGAAGCCUGUAUUAUACAAAACAAUCUUCAAGAAAUCAAUAAAUACAAUUUUCUGAUGUUUCCCAAAAAAAAAAUGGAAUUCUAAAGGUUUAAUUAAUCAUUUAUAAACCAUAUCAACCCGAGAUCCAAAAAAUCAAGGAUGCAACUUAAGAACCUAAAUAUUUCCAAUGAAAUCAUAAAUAAAAAGCUUCAAAAAUAUGAAAGCAAGCACCUGAAAAACUACAAAAUUAAGAAUGAAGUUAACUAUAAAAUUCUAAAAAGCAUCAAAAACACAAGAAGAAACAGCAGUAAACAUAAAUAAAUUAGCACACUGAAGUUUUCAAGAAAUACUCCCACAAGAGUCUUAAAAAUAUAACCACACCGCUAAAAAGAAAAGCAUUUAAA